rnacentral:rRNA from 1 species
AUGGCCGCGAGCACACCGUUUUGCGGCCGUCGUCCCUUGUUCCUCUUCGAGGUUGCAGCAGUCGCCAUCCUCGCGCUGCUGCCGCUGGGCGGCCAUGCGCGGGUCUGCCCUCCGUGCGGCUCGACGGCGGUGCCGUACCCGCUGAGCACGGCGGACGGGUGCGGCGACCCGGCGUACAAGGUCCGGUGCGCGGCCGGCGCGUCGACGUCGACGCUCUUCUUCGACGCGCUCAACGGCACCUCCUACCCGAUCACCUCCGUGUCCCCGGCGGCGCAGCGCCUGGUGGUCGCCCCGGCGCCGCUGGUGUCCAACGACAGCUGCGUGUCCGUGGGGGCCCCCGCUGGGCGCGGCGUGCAGCUGGACCCGUCGCUGCCCUUCAACGUGAGCUCCUCCAACACCAUCAUGCUCCUACGCCACUGCCUCAACUGCACCUCCGCGCUGCUGCGCUCGCCGCUCAACUGCUCGUCCAGCUCGCUCUGCCACGCCUACGCCGACGCCGCGCGGUCGCCCUGCGCGCCGCUGCCGCUCUGCUGCACGUUCGUGGCCGGCGGGUCGUCGACGUCGCACCGGAUCCGCGCCUCGCCCGAGCUCUGCAGCGCCUACACCAGCUUCGUGAACCUCGACCCCGCGCAGCCUCCGGCGACGUGGGGCGGCCGCCUCGGCCUGGAGCUGCAGUGGGCGACGCCGAGGGAGCCGCUCUGCCAGACGCAGGCGGACUGCGAGGACGGCGCCAACGCCACGUGCGCCGGCGACCCGGUCGCGGCCGGCGCGGUGCGGCGCUGCCUCUGCGUCCCCGGGCUCGCGUGGGACCCCGUCGCCGGCGCGUGCCAGCAGAUUCCUUCGGAUUGCGAGCGCGCUGGAGACUGCGAGGGAUCCAACCACGCGCCUCUCAUCGCAGGGAUAGUGUGCGGCCUGGGCGGCGCCCUGCUACUGAUAGCGGCAGGGCUGUUCCUCUACCGGCGGCAGCGGCGCAUCCAAUUGGCCCGGGAGAGGCUGACCAAGGAGCGCGAGGACAUCCUGAACGCCAACAACUCUAGCGGCCGCACCGCCAAGAACUUCACCAGCCGCGAGCUCAAGCGCGCCACGGCCAACUUCUCCCGCGACAACCUCCUCGGCGUCGGCGGCUACGGCGAGGUCUACAAGGGCGCGCUCGCCGACGGCACCCUGGUCGCCGUCAAGUGCGCCAAGCUCGGCAACACCAAGUCCACGGACCAGAUCCUCAACGAGGUGCGCGUGCUGUCGCAGGUCAACCACCGCAGCCUCGUCCGCCUCCUCGGCUGCUGCGUCGACCUCCAGCAGCCGCUCAUGGUCUACGAGUUCGUCCCCAACGGCACGCUCGCCGACCACCUCUACGGCGCCAUGAGCCGGCCGCCGCUCCCGUGGCGCCGCCGCCUCGCCAUCGCUCGCCACACGGCCGAGGGCAUCUCCUACCUGCACUUCUCCGCGUCGCCGCCCAUCUACCACCGGGACAUCAAGUCCAGCAACAUUCUCCUCGACGAGCAGCUCGACGGCAAGGUCUCCGACUUCGGCCUCUCCCGGCUGGCGGAGCCCGGGUUGAGCCACGUCUCCACCUGCGCUCAGGGGACGCUGGGCUAUCUCGACCCGGAGUACUACAGGAACUACCAGCUCACGGACAAGAGCGACGUCUACAGCUUCGGGGUGGUGCUGCUGGAGCUGCUCACGGCGAAGCGCGCCAUCGACUUCGGCCGUGGCGAGGACGACGUCAACCUCGCCGUGCACGUGCAGCGGGCGGCGGACGAGGAGCGACUCCUGCACGUGGUGGACCCGGCAAUGAAGAAUCGCGCCACGCAGCUGGAGCUCGACACGAUGAAGGCGCUCGGGUUCCUGGCGCUCGGUUGCCUCGAGGAUCGCCGGCAGAACCGGCCGUCCAUGAAGGAAGUCGCCGACGAGAUCGAGUACAUCAUCAACAUUGAGGCUGGGGCCGCUGUCGUAGAGCAGCAGCAAAACGCAUGA